rnacentral:rRNA from 1 species
GACGAACGCUGGCGGCGUGCCUAAUACAUGCAAGUUGAGCGCUGAAGGUUGGUACUUGUACCAACUGGAUGAGCAGCGCACGGGUGAGUAACGCGUGGAGCAUCUGCCUUUGAGCGGGGGACAACAUUUGGAAACGAAUGCUAAUACCGCAUAAAAACUUUAAACACAAGUUUUAAGUUUGAAAGAUGCAAUUGCAUCACUCAAAGAUGAUCCCGCGUUGUAUUAGCUAGUUGGUGAGGUAAAGGCGCACCAAGGCGAUGAUACAUAGCCGACCUGAGAGGGUGGGCAGCCGCAUUGGGAGUGAGACCGGGCCCAAAGGCCUACGGGAGGGAGCAGGAGGGCAUCGUCGGGCAUGGACGGAAGGCUGACCGCGCAACGCCGCGUGAGGGAAGAAGGGCUUCGGAUCGGAAAACUCGGUUGGUAGAGAAGAACGUUGGUGAGAGUGUAACGCUCAUCAAGUGACGGUAACUACUCAGAAAGGGACGGCUAACUACGUG